rnacentral:rRNA from 1 species
CACGGAGUCAAACCCAAGUGGGGAGGAAGCAGCGUGCUCUGGAAGGAGCCGGAGCCCGGGAACCCACACCGCCCCCAAAUAAAACCCCCGCCCGCCCGCCGCGCCCUCCUCGCCGGCGACCAUGAAUCCCUCCUCGCCGGAGCCCUCGCCGCCGGGGACCCCCUCGCAGGUCCUCAGCGUGCGCAUCGUCUCGCUCGACUACUACAUGGCGCCGCCCGUCCCCGGCCUCGACAUCUCCUAUAGCCCCUUCCACUGCGAGGAGGUGGAGGAGGUGCCGGUGAUCAGGAUCUACGGCUCCACCCCCGCGGGGCAGAAGACUUGCCUCCACAUCCACCAGGCCCUGCCGUACUUGUAUGUACCUUGCCCAGAGGAGCUACUUCAUAAUAUUGAAAGAGGGAAUUCAUGUAUGACUGGUCUAUUGAGUGACCUCGAGAAAACUUUACAGAAUCGUGGCCUAGCAAAAAGGAAGCAUGUCCAUGGAUGUAGCCUUGUUCGAGCAAAGAAGUUGUAUGGUUAUCAUUCAUCUGAGGAGAUUUUUGUGAAGAUCUACCUAUAUUAUCCUCAUGAGGUUUCUCGGGCUGCGACCCAUCUAUUGGGCGGUGCUGUUCUUGAUAGAGUAUUCCAGCCUUAUGAAUCACACAUUCCAUAUCUUCUUCACUUUUUGAUCGACUAUAACUUGUAUGGAAUGGGCCAUGUACAUGUCACAGACUUCAAGUUCCGCCCUCCAUUGCCAGGUGAUUUUCAUCCUAAGACUCUGCAUAGGAAGGUGGAUUCUUCUGAUGAAUCGGAGCACAAGACACAUUCAUAUAAUGCUGCGAUGAAAAACCCAAUUAUCUGGACAUCAUCAACAGUGCCACAUGCUUUAAUCCUGGGCGAUUCUUCAACUUCACAUUUCAUGGAAGGAUCCAGUUCGAACUUCAGAAAACGACAUACUUUUAUGAUGCUUGAAGCUGACUCCAGAGUAGAAGGAAUCAUAAACGAGAAGUAUAAGAUGUACACUUCUCUGUCACAAACAACGGCAGAUACCAAAAUGGUUCAGUCUCUUUUAGCAAUUUGGGAGGAACUUGAGCACUUAAGACUACUGGAUGAAACAAAACCUGCUGAUAUUGGUAGACCACCGCGGGAUGCUGUUCUUAAAAGUUUUCUUCAUGGUAUUAAGUAUGAGAGUGCUCUUUCUGCGUUGGAUCCAAAAGAGGAGGGGUCCCAUCACAAAGAUUCUGCUGUUGAAGCAUCUGAAAAGCUUGAGAGGUGCUUUAAAUCAUUGACCGAUGUUAUUGGGACUAUCACAUUCUCACAAAAUGGCUGCUGCGAAAAUAUUGGUAGUGAUAAUUCUGCUCAAAGAACAUCUCAGUCAUUUGACGAACAUGAAAAGCAUGUAGAUUCUGAAGCACUUGGGCUUUUAAGCUGGAUGGCCUCCUCACAGGCUGGAGAGGAGCCAACAACUGAUGAUGAAUUAGUCAAUGAAGUCAUUCUGAGCCCUUUGUUCUCCAAGAAGUCCAUUGAAUUUGCUUUAGAGUCUGCUCACUUGGAUUUCGAUAGUGCUUCUCAGCAGGAGUGCCAGGAUAUUCUUGAUACACUUGAACCCAUGACUGGGGCAGAAGAAUUGAAUGCUCAGAAGUCUUACCACAGUUCUCCAAUGCUUGAUGAGAGUACUUCAGUGACCAAUACUAUUCCUCAGAUUGACGGGUCUUCUGAUGAAAAACAGAAAGGCCCCCAAGAAUAUGAUCAGGGUAAAAUUACUAGAAGAAAAAUAGGAACAGCUAGUUACUCAUCUAGUAAAAAUAGUUCAAAGUUAGCAAGUAAGCAUGGAUGUACUGAACUUCUCUGGGGUUCUUUGCCUCUUUCUACUAAAAAGCGGUCACAUGGAAAUGCUGAUGGUCCUGUUAAACUUUCUUCAGGCAGUGCAAUGCCAACUGAGGAUCCAAGUUCUUACAAGAGUAAAACUGAGAAGAACUCUUGUGAUACCACAGACGACAAUGACAAGGAAUCUUCUGGUUCGAUAGGUGAACAUGGCUCAGCCUGUCUUUCUGUGAGGGAUUUAAUGAGGAGGAAGCGGAGGGGAUCUUUUCAGCCUGAAAAGUUAGAUUUUGGUUGUUCUGGAACUGCAGCAUGCAACAUGGAUAAAACCAGCGGAAUCGUGAUUUCUGGAGGAUUAGAAGUGCAUGAUGUCACCAGUGGUCUUCCAAAUUCAGAAACGUCUUAUUCUGGUGGUGAAUAUGUACAUAUGACAUUUGCGCAGAAGCCUCCAACUGGUUCGGAGGUUUCUUCGGCGAGCAUUGAGCAUCCUGAAUCUGCUAAACUGGGAUCGGUUGACCCCCUUCCAUUUUUCAAUCAGACUGCUGAAGAGAAUAAGGAGAGUGGAUCAUUUCAGUAUAUGGGAAGUAGUGAAUUCACACCUGAUACUUUGGGUGUUCCAACUCAUUUCCAAAAUGAUGGAUCCGUCCUAUAUUUGCUGACGCAUGCAUUUUCACCACCAUCUGCAGCAGCUGUGGGCCAGUGGCUACCUCAACACACUUAUUCCAAUAGUGUCUCUGGUUACUUCAACUGUGGUGAGAAUGUUACAGAUGAUCAGGAAAUAGAACACCAUCCUACUUCUACACCACAUGCGGAAGCUCUUCCUUUGAUGGCCAAUUCUCCUGUACCCGGAUCUGCUUCUGAGCAUACAACAACAACGUUCAUUGAUACAGUUAUGAUGAAAUCUGACCAGCCGAACAAAGAAAAUAAAAAGUUGGAUGAUUGGCAUGACUUUUCCCAGAUCUCAGCUGAAGAUGAGAAGCAUAAGCUCACACCUCUCAGUCAAAUUGGAUUUCGUGACCCUGCUAGCACCGGUGGUGGACAACAACUGACGAUACUUAGCAUAGAGGUAUUUGCGGAAAGCAGAGCAGAGCUGCGUCCUGAUCCACGGUUUGAUGCCAUCAAUGUUGUAUCUUUGGCUGUCGAGGAUGACGGUGACAAUACUGUUGAAGUUCGUGUACUUAUACGUGGAAACAAUGACAAAUCACAGGGGAGGAGAAACCUUGACGGAGUUAUUGGUUGCAGUGUCGAUGUCUUCCCGGAAGAGAGGAAUCUUUUGAAUCAUCUUAUCGAUGCAUUAUGUUCAAUUGAUCCAGAUAUCCUAGUUGGAUGGGAGAUUCAGUUAGGAUCUUUAGGAUUUCUUGCUGAAAGAGCUGCUUAUCUGGGUAUAGGCUUACUGAAAAGAAUCUCAAGGACACUACCACAUGAGUCAAAAUAUCCACCUAAGAAUCUAGCCCAUGAGUCUAGUCAGGUGCCUGAAGCAUCUCCUGCCGAUGAUGUUAUUGUGGAUGUCAGUGAGAAUGAUUGGAGUCAUACUCAUGCUAGUGGUGUACAUGUUGGUGGGAGAAUUGUAUUAAACUUAUGGCGUCUCAUGCGUGGAGAAGUUAAGCUUAACAAUUACUCCCUUGAAGCUGUGGCUGAUGAAGUCCUGAGGCGAAAGGUACCAUUAGUACCAAACAAGACAUUGAAUCGAUGGUUUGCAACAGGUCCUGGACGAGGAAGACACCGGUGCAUAGAAUAUGUUAACAGCAGAGCUAUGCUCAACCUUGAAAUAAUAAAUCAACUUGACCUGGUCAAUCGGACAUCUGAACUUGCUCGUGUGUUUGGUAUUGACUUCUUCUCUGUUCUUUCACGAGGGUCUCAGUUUCGUGUUGAAUCUAUGCUCUUGAGAUUGGCUCAUACACAGAACUACCUUGCAAUUUCCCCAGGAAACCAACAGGUUGCUUCUCAGCCAGCCAUGGAGUGCAUGCCACUUGUAAUGGAACCAGAAUCAGCUUUCUACUCUGACCCAGUUCUCGUAUUGGAUUUUCAAUCUCUUUAUCCUUCCAUGAUAAUAGCAUAUAAUCUAUGUUAUUCUACUUGCUUGGGUAAAGUUUUCCCGUCGAAGUCCAGUGUACUUGGUGUCAGCUCAUAUUCAGCCGAUCCGCAUACGAUCGCUGAUCUGAAAAAUCAGCUGAUUCUUACUCCAAAUGGGGUUCUGUAUGUGCAACCGGGGGUCAGAAAAGGUGUAGUGCCUCGCCUUCUUGAGGAGAUACUGUCAACCAGAAUUAUGGUGAAGCAAGCAAUGAAAAAGCUAGCUCCAUCUCAGAAGGUUCUGCAGAAGAUACUCAAUGCUCGGCAACUUGCUCUGAAGCUGAUAGCUAAUGUAACGUAUGGUUACACAGCUGCUGGGUUCAGUGGUCGUAUGCCCUGUGCAGAGCUUGCAGACAGCAUUGUUCAAUGUGGUCGUAGAACGCUUGAAACAGCAAUAUCAUUUGUCAAUCAGCAUCCCUUGUGGAAUGCUAGGGUUGUGUAUGGUGAUACUGACAGUAUGUUUGUUCUUCUAAAAGGGCGAUCUAGGGAAGAAGCAUUCAGAAUAGGGAAGGAAAUUGCCUCUUUAGUGACUGCGAUUAAUCCGGAUCCAGUCACUUUGAAGUUUGAGAAAGUGUACCAUCCCUGUUUCCUUCUUACAAAGAAGAGAUAUGUUGGCUAUAGCUAUGAAAAUCCCGAACAGAACGAGCCAAUCUUUGACGCAAAGGGGAUUGAGACAGUGCGGAGAGAUACAUGCCCGGCGGUUGCGAAGAUGUUAGAACGAUCUCUUAGAAUAAUGUUUCAAGAACAAGACUUGGUCAAGGUUAAAUCGUAUGUGGAGCGUCAAUGGACACGGAUAUUAUCAGGAAAAGUUUCUAUUCAGGACUUCAUUUUUGCAAAGGAGGUUCGUCUUGGUACUUACAGUGCAAGGGCAUCCUCACUGCCACCUGCAGCAAUUGUUGCAACAAAAGCAAUGUUGUCUGAUCCACGGGCAGAACCACGUUAUGCAGAGAGAGUGCCCUAUGUUGUUAUCCAUGGGGAACCAGGGGCUCGUCUCGUCGAUAUGGUCAUUGAUCCAUAUGGUCUGCUAGAAGUUGGAUCCCCUUAUAGGUUAAAUGAAUUAUAUUACAUAACCAAACAGAUUAUCCCAGCACUACAACGUGUCUUUGGACUCCUAGGUGUUAACCUAAAUAAAUGGUUUAACGAGAUGCCUCGCCCCACACGGUCAACACUCGCGAAACGCCAGUCUGCUUUGGGUCACGGUUCUCGUGAUAGCAGUUCCAUCCGAUUGGGAUGGAACAAGAAACCGCCCGCCAAAGUAGCCAGGAUAGAUACCUAUUAUAUGUCGAGCCAUUGUACUAUCUGUGGUGAUACAGUUCAAGGAUCAGAAACUUUUUGCAGUUACUGUUUAAGAAAUGAAGCUGUUGUUGCCACUGUAGUCGCUGGCAGGACAUCAAAAUUGGAGCGAGAAAUCCAACAUCUUGCUGCUAUAUGUGGCCACUGCGGCGGCGCAGAUUGGAUCGUGGAAAGUGGUGUCAAGUGCUUUUCGCUUGCAUGCCCGGUGUUCUAUGAGCGUCGGAAGGUCCAGAAGGAGUUAAGAGCCGUCUCGGAAUCUGCUGCAGAAGCUGGCUAUUAUCCAUUCUGCUGCGCAGAGCUAUUCUGACUUUGUGUUCUUGUUGUUAAUAUCUUGUACAUUGUACAUCUGUAAAAUGUACAAUCAGACUGUAAUUAUGUUGUUGUAACUCAUAGCAUUGUUACGUACCAGUGUGUAGCAAAGGAGUAUAUACUGUGUAACAACACACAUCCUCAUUUGAGAGGACAAGAAAAAGUUACUCGCCUGUUUGUUUUCGAAUGGUGUUUUCUGUCUUGAUCACCCUCUUGUGCUAGAAAUUC